rnacentral:rRNA from 1 species
GACGAACGCUGGCGGCGUGCUUAACACAUGCAAGUCGAGCGGUAAGGCCCCUUCGGGGGUACACGAGCGGCGAACGGGUGAGUAACACGUGGGUGACCUGCCCUCAGCUCUGGGAUAAGCCUGGGAAACUGGGUCUAAUACCGGAUAUGACUCCAUGACGCAUGUCGUGGGGUGGAAAGCCUUGUGCGGCUGGGGAUGGGCCCGCGGCCUAUCAGCUUGUUGGUGGGGUGAUGGCCUACCAAGGCGACGACGGGUAGCCGGCCUGAGAGGGCGACCGGCCACACUGGGACUGAGACACGGCCCAGACUCCUACGGGAGGCAGCAGUGGGGAAUCUUGCGCAAUGGGCGAAAGCCUGACGCAGCGACGCCGCGUGAGGGAUGACGGCCUGG